rnacentral:rRNA from 1 species
AUUGAACGCUGGCGGCAGGCCUAACACAUGCAAGUCGAACGAGUGGCGGACGGGUGAGUAAUGUCUGGGAAACUGCCCGAUGGAGGGGGAUAACUACUGGAAACGGUAGCUAAUACCGCAUACCAUCGGAUGUACCCAUAUGGGAUUAGCUAGUAGGUGGGGUAAAGGCUCACCUAGGCGACGAUCCCUAGCUGGUCUGAGAGGAUGACCAGCCACACUGGGACUGAGACACGGCCCAGACUCCUACGGGAGGCAGCAGUGGGGAAUAUUGCACAAUGGGCGCAAGCCUGAUGCAGCCAUGCCGCGUGUAUGAAGAAGGCCUUAGGGUUGUAAAGUACUUUCAGCGAGGAGGCGUUACUCGCAGAAGAAGCACCGGCUAACUCCGUGCCAGCAGCCGCGGUAAUAC